rnacentral:rRNA from 1 species
UGCCAGCCGCCGCGGUAAUACGAAGGGGGCAAGCGUUGUUCGGAAUCACUGGGCGUAAAGCGUACGCAGGCGGACUGACAAGUUGGGGGUGAAAUCCCGGGGCUCAACCCCGGAACGGCCUCCAAAACUGUCAGUCUAGAGUUCGAGAGGGGAGUGUGGAAUUCCUAGUGUAGAGGUGAAAUUCGUAGAUAUUAGGAGGAACACCAGUGGCGAAGGCGACACUCUGGCUCGAUACUGACGCUCAGGUACGAAAGCGUGGGGAGCAAACAGGAUUAGAUA